GCCCACGUAGCUCAGUCGGCAGAGCGCGUCCUUGGUAAGGACGAGGUCGGCAGUUCAAUCCUGCCCGUGGGCUCCA
rnacentral:tRNA from 1 species